CGAACCUGACUGAAUAAAAGGGUUUCGAACCCUCUGGAUCCUAUCGUUUUACCUAUUUCUUUCUAUCUUCCUCUCAGAAAUCCUAGCCGACUCUUCUCUCUUCUGAAACCCUAGCGCUACCGAGAAGAAGAAGGGUGAGACCACCACGGAUCGGGGUUUUUCAAAUACAGAUCACUUUUUUCUGGUUCUCCGGCUUCUCUUCCAACCAUCCUGAUGAGGAGGAGUAUUUCUAACCCAUUCAUUCAUCAUUUUUUUUUACUAAUCUUUUCGUCCUCUUUUUUACAGAUGUUACAUUCCCCUCUUCUUCCGAAGAUCCUUGUCCUCAAGAAUCAAAAUGAGGAAACUGGUUCUUGAGUGACCAGUAAUCUUCCCAUGUAGCUUCUUCUUCACCGAGGUUACUCCAUUUGAUCAGCACUUUGGUAACUGCUUUGUUCCCCUUGCGAACCAUUUUUCUGUCUAAAAUUUUUUUCUGAUUGGGUUAACAGUUGUCCUUCUUCUUUUGUGAGGGAUACUAUUGGUGUUGCUUGCUCGAAUUUUUGAAUCCCUUUUUUUAGUAAAGAUACAUGAAAUACGGGAUGUAUUUUAGAUCCCUCAGGCAGAUUAAGCUCAUAAGCCAUAGGUCCAAUUCUUUUUAGUAUCUUGAAUGGUCCAUAAUACUGUGAAGUAAGUUUUGAAUUUCUGUGCAUGGCUACUGUAGUUUGUCGGUAGGGUUGGAGUUUAAGACAUACCAUUUCUCCUACUUGAUAUUCUUUAUCUAUUCUUCUCUUAUCUGCAUUUUGUUUCAUGCGGUUUUAUGCUUCCUUAAGUCUGUCUCUUAAAAUCCGUAUCAUCUUUGUUCUUUCUCUGUUUUAAUCUGCCACUGUACUUUGCGGUUGCGUAUCCAUGUUGACUAUCGGGUACAUAUAAGGUGGAUGUCGAUACAGGGCUUGGUAAGGUGUCAUUCCUAGGGAUGAGUGAUAGUUGGUAUUAUACCACCACUCAGCCAGGGAUAGCCAUUUAAGCCAUCUGUGCAUAUUGUGAAAGUAUAAGCAUCUUAAAUAUGUUUCUAAGCAUUGGUUUACUCUCUCUGUUUGUCCAUCUGUCUGUGGGUGAUAAGUAGUACUCAGGUGUAAUUUGACCCCCAUUAAUUUGAAUAGAUCUUGCCAUACCUGACUGGUGAAGAUCUUAUCUCUGUCUGAUAUAAUACUUUGUGGCAUUCCAUGUAAUUUGUAUACUGUAUCCAAGAAUGAUCUUGCUACAUGCUAUACCGUAUAGGGAUGAGUCAAGGGAAUAAAAUAUGAAUAUUUAGUUAAAUCAAUCCACCACUACUAAUAUAGUGUCUUUACCUUCUGAUUUUAGUAAUGACUCAAUGAAAUCCAUACUGAUUUCUUGCCAGACUUGUGUGGAAAUUUACAGAGAUUGUAGUAGACCUACAUAUGGAGUUUCCUCAAUUUUAUUUUUAAUACAAAUUUCACAUUCUUUCACUAGUUUCUCCACUUGUUGUUUCAUUCCUGGCCAAUAAAAUAAUUGCUUAAUUCUCUUAUAAGUAUGGUUCAUUCUUGAGUGCCCUCUUAAAGCUGAAAUGUGCAUAAGUUCUAGGAGCUUCUGUCUCAACUCCCCUAUUUUUUCAAUGUAAAUUCUUCCUUUAUACUUAAGCACUCCUUGUUUAUAAGUGCAUUCAGUAUGGAAUUCUGGCUCUAUGAGUACUUCUGCUAUAAGUUGUUGAGUCUGUUGGUCCCCUUCAUAACUGUUAGCUAUUUUCACACUCCAUAUAGGUACCACUACUGUAAUUGCUUGCACCCUUUCUUCUUCAAUUCUCCAUCUGGAUAAGGCAUCUACAGCCAAAUUUUUUUUCUCCUUCUUAUAAUGUAUCAUAUAAUCCAACCCCAUAAGUUUCAUCAUACCUUUUUGCUGUGAUGCAGUAGUUACUUUUUAUUCUAAUAAGCAUUUUAAACUUUGAUGAUCUGUUUUAAUGAUGAAAGUUUGGGCACUCAUGUAGUGCUUCCAUUUUUCUACAGCCAUCAAAAUAGCUAGGAAUUCUUUUUCAUAAGUAGAAAGUGCUUGGUUCCUUUUACUUAAACCUUUACUGAGGUAAGCUAUAGGUCUUCCUUGUUGUGUGAGGACUGCUCCAAUUCUAUAUCUACUAGCAUCUACUUCCAAAGUGAAGGGUAAGGAAUAAUUCGGCAUAGCUAAAACUAGUGCUAUAGACAUUAGUUCAUUUAACUUCUCAAAUGCCUUUUGUGUGGUUUCAUCCCAAUGAAAAUUAUCUAUUUUAAGUAGCUCUAUUAGAGGUUUGCUAAUUGAUCUAUAGCCUUUUAUAAACCUUCUAUAGUAUCCUAUGAGCCCCAAAAAUCUCCUCAAUUCCUUUAAUAUAGUUGGUUUAUGCCACUUUUGCAUGGCUAUCAUCUUCUCAGGGUCAGUUGCCAUACCUUCUUUAGAAAUUAUAUGUCCCAGAUAUUCCACUUGUUGCUGCCCAAAGAAAUAUUUAGAUCUUUUUGCAUACAACUGAUUUCUUCUUAAUAUAGUCAAUACUUCAGUGAGAUGUUCCACAUGCUCCUCUAAGGUUUUGCUGUAUACCAAAAUAUCAUCAAAAUAUACUAGCACAAACUUUCUGAGAUAAGGAGAGAACACCUCAUUCAUGGUAGCUUGAAAUAUGGCUGGUGCAUUAGUUAAUCCGAAGGACAUCACUAAGAAUUCAUAUUGACCUAUGUGAGUUCUAAAAGCUGUCUUAUACAUCUUCUAGAUUCAUUUUGAUUUAAUGGUAACCUGAUCUCAAAUCUAUUUUAGAGAAAUAUUAAGAUCCUUCAAGUUCAUCCAAAAGAUCAUCAAUUAAGGGUAUAGGAUAUUUAUCUUUCACUGUUGCUUUAUUGAGCUGCCUAUAGUCCACACAAAAUCUCCAACUGUUAUCUUUUUUUUUACCAAUAAUAUAGGUGAAGCGUAAAGACCAGUGCUGGGUUGAAUAAUGGCAGUUUUAAGCAUCUCCUAUAUUUGUCAUUCAAUCUUAUUUUUUUUAUAUAUAUAUCUGUAUGGUCUGAUAUUAACUGGAUUAGUGCCUGAUAAUAAUAAUAUUCUAUGAUCUUGUGGUCUAAUAGGUGGCAAUCCUUUAGGCUCUUGGAACACAUCAAUGUACUGUUUUAAUAUCGUAUUGACUGAAUCAGGUAUCUCUGCUUCUAUUUUUUUUCCAUCAAAAUUUUUCAGUUACCUAACUGCACAACAAUCUCCCUUAAGUCCAGACCUAUACCACUCUGUAGCAGUGAUCAUUUGAAGUUUGGCCUUAGUAGUCUUUAAUUUGGAUCCUUCUGUAAUACCUUUCAAUGUCAUCUAUUUUUCUUCCUUCAUAAAAGUAACAAUAUUAUCUAAAUAAUCAAAGGUUACUUUACUAUAGAUUCUUAACCAAUCAAUUCUCAAAAUUAUGCUGGAUCCAUCUAAUCUAAUCACUCUUAAAUCUGUCUGAUAUUGUUCUCCCUGCAUAGACCAUAUAAAAUUGACACAUUUGAGCUUACUCAACACUUUGUGUCCAUUGGCCACUGUUACCACUAAUGAGUUUGCUGCAGUAAUUGUAGCCUUCACUCUUUAGCAACUUGGUAAUCAAUAAAGCUGUGAGUACUUUCUGUGUCAAUUAGAAUGACCAGAGUUUUAUUACCAGCUUCUCCUAAAUCUUAAUAGUUUCAUUUUGGUUUUGUCCCAUUAAGGCAUGUACUGCUGUUUCUAUGUCUGUAUCUUUUUCUUCUUCUGUUAUGAUCUCUUCCUCUAUCUCUUCUUCCUCUUCCUGUAAUAGCUAUUCAUCAAAUACUUCAUCGGCUUCUAUUGUAGUAUUUAUAGAUUGAUUCUUCUUUAUUGAAUACUGAUGCCCAGGAUGAUAUUUUUCUCCACAUUUGAAAUACAGACCAGCUAUUCUUCUUUGUUCCCACUGCUAUUUAUUAUCUUUCUGAAAUAACUUUUGAUUUUUGAAGGUUUGAUAUUUUUUGUUUUUCUUUUGUACUACUGGUUUAUUGUGAAGAUAUUUUGCUAUUUUAAUUGUGGGUAUUUUGUAAACCAUUUUGUUCCUCUUCCACUUCAUUAACAAAGCCUGUUCAUAUAACUUAGCUUGUUCGUACACCUCUUCUAAAGUGGUAGGAUGAGAUAAAUCAAUAUAGGGUAUCAAUUCUUCCUUCAACCCACUGAUAUAGCUUUCUAUAAAAUACCUUUCGGUUAAUGCUGAAUUAUAUUGUAUCGUCCUAGCUCUCAUAUCUUCAAAUUUUUUUUGAUACUUCUCCACAGUACUUAUCUACAUCAAUUUAUUAAAUUUUCUGAUCAACUAUUUCAUAUUUUCACUGUCAAAUCUUUUGUUCACUGCUUCCACUAAUUUUUUUCAACUCAAAUUUGGUUUAUCAAUUAGGUACCCUUCCUUCCAUCUGUGUGCCUUUCCCAUGAAAUGCAUAGUAGCAAUUUUCACCCACUGAACCACUGAAAUCUGAUAUAUUUUAAAAUAUUGUUCACUCUUACUGAUCCAUUCUUUGGGUUCUUCACCAUUAAAGGUAGAAAAUUCCAACUUUGGAUAAGGCAGGUGAAGUGGGGUCUUGUUUUGAAUAUCAUCUAUCUUAUCCAAGUUGAUAAGGUGUGAGUAAUAUUCCUUUACCUCUAAUUUCAGCUGCUACUGAUGAUGAACUACAGUCAGGUGGCUCUGAACUGUUUUUUCUUCCAUUUCUUGGGGCUGACGGAUUAUUGUUUGCAGUGAAUGAAGGAGUGGAUUGAAAAACUGAUGGCUGCGGCGUAAUUAGCUUCAGCAACUGCUCAUGCCUGCGAUUUUGUUCCUGCAUCAUGAUUUCAUACCUUCUUGCAGCUUCAAUUUGUAAAACUUCAUAUCUCUAUCUUUCGUCAAUCUGUAUUUCAUCUAACUGUCUUGCAAACACACCCAACUUCGUAUUGUAUUCCUCAGAUACUUGCUGUAAUCGGUUUUCUAUAUGACUGUGGCAGUUUGUGGUAAAUGUUUGCAUUCUUUCUUCCAGUACUCGUAGGUUUUCACAGCUAUCCUUUAAUCUGGUUCCUUCUGUCAUUUUUUUUUUACUACACUCCAACAAAUUUUUAUAAAAUCUAUUUUAAAACUAUUUAACAGAUAUUAAAAAUUUUUACUCCUGGCUACAGCAAUCAAUUCAGGGUGGCCAAUGAUGAUUUCAUGAGGCCAGGUUGCUGUUCCUUGGAACAGUAAUCACCCUUGUGGACCCUGAUACAUUCAUUACAAUCUAUUCUGAAAAUAGAUCUAAGCAGUUUUGAGGGUGUAACCUAUUGUUGAGUGCCUUACUUGAUUGACUGUAAAUUCUACUGCCGAUCUCUAACCUGAACUGUGCAGCACCACAGAUGGCCGAUUACAGUAUCAUGUAAGCUUCACUAUUGUUUUCUGGUCGUCUUGCCGCAGGUCCAAAGUUCAGAUCUGAACUCUGAUACCAAAUUUUUUGUAAUAUCCCGACUUCCCGAAAGGAAUUCGGUGUGGUGUUUAUGUGAAUUCUGGAGCUGAAUUGGGAUGAAGAGGUGAAUUACAGGGAGGAGAGUGUUCAAAUUAGAGAGGGAGUUCAGAUCUGAGGAGGAUUUCCGAUCGGAGAAGAAGGAGAAGGAGAAGUCUCGUUUGGAGGGAGUCUGAAUACUUUCAUUUCAUUUCCUAUUUUGAAUUUCUGUUACAAUCCUUUUUAUAUGAAGUUACAGAUAAUGUAAAUGAAAUACUUUUCGAAUGAAAAUGAAAUUCUAAUCAAAUGCAGAUGACAUUUUUUAGAAAUGCAAUUCAGAUGCAAAAUGAAAUGCAAAUGCUCCUUAAUGAAAUUCAAGGAGAUAUUUUUGAGGCCUGUAGGAGCGGGCUGUUGGGUUUGUUGGCUGGAUUCAAUACCCGAAUCCGACUGAAUAAAAGGGUUCUGAAUCCUCUGGAUCCUAUCGUUUCAUCUGUUUCUUUCUGUCUUCCUCUCAGAAAUCCUAGCCGACUCUUCUCUCUUCUGAAACCCCAGCGCUCCCGAGAAGAAGAAGGAUGAGGCCGGCGUGGAUCGGGGUUUUUCAGAUACAGAUCACUCUUUUCUGAUUCUCCGACUUCUGUUCCAACCAUCUCGAUGAGGAAUGUUACAGCAUCAUCCGCCAGCAGCCGACUUUGACCGCUGUGGUAUUCAAAACUUACUAAUUGGAAGGGAAGCAGGACAGCGUAUGCAUGCAGCAUUUAGCUUGCCGGCCGAUUUUACUGACUAGACCUAUGUCGCCAUUCUUUCGUGGAGGAGGACCAAUGUGUCGACUUGACUUGGCUCUUAAUGUCGCUUUGGUCUCUUGAAUAUCUCAAUCUCAUAUCGCCUAACUUGACCGUGGCUCUUUUUUGAUUUGUCGGGCUGGAUUGGGUCGAAAUGUGACUCCAGUUUCCACUUAUGGCUAGGCAAAGGAUUAUCCCCGUUCUUAAAUUCAAUUAACUACGAUGUGAACGGAUAAGCAUGGAUAAGUAUCGUACCUAACUUGACAGAUCUUGCUAAUGAUGAUAGUUUUGUGGGGCCAAAAUUUAGAUUUGACAUUUUACCCGAACGAUAAUGUUUGGGAGCAUUCUUUGUCCUGCUACUUUGUGAUCUUUUAAAUAUGAUGUUGUUAUUUUUUUUGGUAAUACAAAUAUGAUGUUAUUUGCUGUGCAA